AUCAUGGAGAGUUUGAUCCUGGCUCAGGAUGAAUGCUGGCGGCAUGCUUAACACAUGCAAGUUGGAGGGGAAGUGGUGUUUCCAGUGGCAGACAGGUGAGUAACAUGUAAGAACCUACCCUUGGGAGGGGAACAACAGUUGGAAACGAUUGCUAAUACCCCAUAGGAUGAGGAGAAAAAGGAGGAAUCCGCCCAAGGAGGGGCUCGCAUCUGAUUAGUUAGUUGGUGAGGCAAUGGCUUACCAAGGCGAUGAUCAGUAGCUGGUCCGAGAGGAUGAUCAGCCACACUGGGACUGAAACACAGCCCAGACUUCUAUGGGAGGCAGCAGUGGGGAAUUUUCCGCAAUGGGCGAAAGCCUGAUGGAGCAAUGUCGCGUGAAGGCAGAAGACCCAUGGGUCAUGAACUUAUUUUCUCAGAGAAGAAACAAUGACGGUAUCUAAGGAAUAAGCAUCGACUAACUCUGUGCUAGUAGCCAUGGUAAGACAGAGGAUGCAAGCAUUAUCCAGAAUGAUUGGGCAUAAAGCAUCUGUAGGUGGCUUUUCAAGUCCGCCGUAAAAUCCCAGGGCUCAACCCUGGACAGGCGGUGGAAACUACCAAGCUAGAGUAUGGUAGGGGCAGAGGGAAUUUCUGGUGGAGCGGUGAAAUGCGUUGAGAUCGGAAAGAACACCAAUGGCGAAAGCACUCUGCUGGGACGACACUGACAUUGAGAGACGAAAGCUAGGGGAGAAAAUGGGAUUAGAUACCCCAGUAGUCCUAGCCCUAAAUGAUGGAUACUAAGUGUUGUGCGUAUCGACCCAUGCAGUGCUGUAGCUAACAUGUUAAGUAUCCCACCUGGGGAGUACGUUCGCAAGAAUGAAACUCAAAGGAAUUGACGGGGGCCCACACAAGCGGUGGAGCAUGUGGUUCAAUUCGAUGCAAAGCGAAGAACCUUACCAGGG
rfam:Picea glauca, whole genome shotgun sequence.